rnacentral:lncRNA from 1 species
UAAAAGGCCAUUCCUAGAAGGAAUGUAAACAAAAACUUGACAGUUAGGCCUGAAGGCCAGGCUGCCUGCAGAAGAGCACUUCAUGUGUUUGAAGUUUGGAAACAUUGCUUUGAAUUCAAGAAAAGCUCACAGACCCAUAGAGGACCAGAGCUUGCCAGCAGUCACCCAGGAUCCUGGUAACCUGACGGUGUGUUCUUGGUCUCGUGAGAAUCUCCCACUCCCCUGACACCCACAGGGAUGACUCCGGAGAGCUCCUAGGAUGAUCGAUGAGUCCUGCACAAAUGCACUUCCACCAGCAACCCUUGGCCUCUGGCCUUCUGCAGUGGCCAGCUAACUAGGAGAACACAGAGGCUUCUGUGCUAUUUUAUUUCCUUAGCCAUUUCUCAGGAAGAGAGAUUGAUACGCAGGCCUGUGACACCGGGGAAAAGGCGGGGCUUCAGUUUUGGAGUCUCAGACGUCAGAUUUGAGAAGCGGAAGGCCAAUGCCUCCUGCAGUUGAUCAGCUGAGUCUGCAAGGCUGACCUCCUUGCCGGUCCCCUUAUGACCACCUUUCAGGAAGGAACAUCCUCUUUAGGGUUUAACUCACUGCCAAAGUCACCCCCCCUUCCCUGUCUGCCAUACUUUGGAGGCCUUUCAGCCUCCAGAAAGCUGCUUACCUACUGAGACCCCCCUCAUAUGUGAGAAAGACACACCCAGGGAUUUCAUUUUAAUUUUUAUUCUUAUUUUUUCUUAAAGAUUGGCACCUGAACUAACAUCUGUUGCCAAUCUUCUUUUUUCUUUUAUUUUUUCUUCUUCUUCUCCCCAAAGUCCCCCAGUAUAUAGUUGUAUAUUCUACCUGUAGGUCCUCCUGGUUCUGCUAUGUGGGACACCGCCUGAGAAUGGCCUGAUGAGUGGUGCCAUGUCUGCGCCCAGGAUUUGAACCGGCGAAACCCUGGGCCGCAGAAGCAGAAGCAAAAGCAGAGCGUGUGAACCCAACUACUCGGCCUCUGGCCUGCUCCACAUCCAGGGAUUUUAAAGGGCUGACUGCUGAAGGGAGAGUAUAAAGCAAGGAUGUCAGCUUUCCUUCCAUUUCAAACCCAGCCCCAAAGCUAUUUAAGCCAGUGCACAUAGCAUUACUCAACAGGUCUUUGAUUAUUGAAUGAAUAAAUUUGCGGUAACAAAAGGAAGAUUGAGAUUUCAGAACAGGGUGGGGUAUGUUGAACAUUGAUUCUCUGAUCUCAGAGAAAAGAAAACAGAAAGGCAAUUUUCCUCUAAUUUCAAUCAGAAUAUUUUGCAGAUGAAAGGGAUCUUAGUGAUCAUUCGGUUUCCUUGUUACUUUACAAAUAGGAAUUUAAUGACUUGCAUUUCUUCCUGUCUGAACCUUGGUUCAAUAACGUAUACUCAAAUAUUUUCGUUUCAUUAUUUCAUUUUGGAAUUGAAUAGAGUAUCUUGGAAAGAUACCUAAACUGCUCUUUCCUCAGAUUUCCCAUUCCUUGCUCAUGUUUCCUGAAUGUUUGCCUGUGGAGUGGCUCAUUAAGCUGCAAAACAGGUAGUAGAUUUGGGGCCUUUGUGCUUGAAUCCCGAGUCUUGCCAUUGGCUCAGGACUUCUCAAGUGGGCCCCUUGACAGUUACGAAAACUGCCUGAAGUUUAGAUUUUCAAAUACUGACUAUUUUGCCGGGGCUGUUUUGAUAAAUGCAAAUUAAAAAACAACGCACAGCUGCCCCCCAUUUCUUUUUAAAAAGCUAUUACAUGCUGCUAACUAUUAAGUAAUUUAGAUAAUCUAGGAUGUUAAUAAUCAAGGCCCGUGCUCUAAAACAACACACAGCAAAUAGAUGAAGGAUUGUGGUCCA